rnacentral:rRNA from 1 species
UACGUAGGGUGCAAGCGUUGUCCGGAAUUAUUGGGCGUAAAGAGCUUGUAGGCGGUUUGUCGCGUCUGCUGUGAAAUUUCGGGGCCAUCCACCCGAACUUGCUGGUUGAUACGGGCAGGCUAGAGUUCGGUAGGGGAGACUGGAAUUCCUGGUGUAGCGGUGAAAUGCGCAGAUAUCAGGAGGAACACCGGUGGCGAAGGCGGUUCUCUGGGACGGUACUGACGCUGAGACGCGAAAGCGUGGGGAGCGAACAGG